UGGGGAAUUUUGGACAAUGGGCGAAAGCCUGAUCCAGCAAUGCCGCGUGUGUGAAGAAGGCCUUCGGGUUGUAAAGCACUUUUGUCCGGAAAGAAAUGGCUCUGGUUAAUACCUGGGGUCGAUGACGGUACCGGAAGAAUAAGGACCGGCUAACUACGUGCCAGCAGCCGCGGUAAUACGUAGGGUCCAAGCGUUAAUCGGAAUUACUGGGCGUAAAGCGUGCGCAGGCGGUUGUGCAAGACCGAUGUGAAAUCCCCGAGCUUAACUUGGGAAUUGCAUUGGUGACUGCACGGCUAGAGUGUGUCAGAGGGGGGUAGAAUUCCACGUGUAGCAGUGAAAUGCGCAGAGAUGUGGAGGAAUACCGAUGGCGAAGGCAGCCCCCUGGGAUAACACUGACGCUCCAUGCACGAAAGCGUGGGGAGCAAACAGGAUUAGAUACCCUGGUAGUCCACGCCCUAAACGAUGUCAACUAGUUGUUGGGGAUUCAUUUCCUUAGUAACG
rnacentral:rRNA from 1 species